UCACUCAUAUCGGAUGACCAUAGUUCCCAUUCCGUUAAAAUUUGUACGAUUCGUGGCUGUCCAACCUUAUCCUCAAGGAGGGAAUUCGAAUUUCGAAUCAGCCUAGUCUCCCUCUAUAUAAACUCUCUUCUUUUCAGUGUAGAGGGUUGGACGGAAAAAUGUUGGAGAAAAUAUUGAAACUUAACUAGCAUUAGAGAGGAAGAAACACACUUAAACCAUAUAGUUCUUGAAAGCAUAGAGAAAUCGGAAAUUCCGAUUUCGUUCAGUCUUUGCUCUAGUUUGUUUUGUUUGUUCGUCCAAGUUCUCGGAAUCGUACCUUAGUGGUGGUUAAGUCAUUUCAAGCUCGUUGUCCCACGUCUCUGCUCCAAAAGAGGUAUAUUUCGUCAUUUCAUUCUUGAAUCGUAUUUUGUGCUUUGGUUUUAAGUCCAUUAUCUAGCUGCUGAUAUGGCUCAAUGCUUUGUUUCUGGUUUUUAGUGUGGUUGUAUUAGUUCUCAAUAGAUAUACAUUGUUUUCUUCCGUUUGUUUGGAUUCAAAAUGAUUUGAAUGUGUAUGUAUGGAGGCUGGAGGACUGAUGUUUGACUACUUUGCUACCGAUUGCUGCUUGUAUUUCUCCUCUGCCUUAACUUGACUUUCAAAGUGAUGUCUUUAUAGCUUGGGUUUGAAUUCAGUUCAAAGCUUAUCCAUUUAGAUAGUAGCAUUUAGUGUUGUCUAAGUCCGUUUCCAGAUGACUUGUUUCUGAUCACCUGCUUAAGAUUUUAGUCUAUUUCAAGUCCUUGUUUUCCUUUAGGUUACUGCUUACUCUACUUUGUUAAAUUUCUUACCUUAAUUUCUCCAAGUUACGUGUGUGAUUUUAAUAUUAGCAAAAUAUGAGGCAAAUUUGUGCUUCCUCUUCAGUUAAGUGUAUUGAGUGUUACUUAUUCCCUUUUCCAAAUCUAGUCUUGUUUUAGGUAUCAUGUGUUCUUCAUUAAAUUUGUUGAAUUCAUCAUGGAUUGUUUUACUAUUUGUUGAUCGAUUUCGUAAAUAUUAAUUUGACCUGGUUAGCUUAAGAAAGAAUAAUACUAAGCCAUUUUCUUCUUUUCUUUUACUAUGCAUGAACUUGGCCCGAGUCUUCAUGGACUCCUCAUCCCUCAUUUGCGUUAUUGAGUUUUCAAGUCUACCCCUACUGGUUGUAAGCUGAUGCGCACAAGAAAGAAGGGAACAAAAUACAGGUGUCAAAAGCGAAAACAGGCUGAUAUGCGAUCUGUAUACACUCGGUAUACAUCGAUAUACAGGGAAAAUGCUGAAAUACUAGGCCCAAAAUUGAAUUACAUGUUUCAGAGGCUAAAAGGUGGUCGUAUACAACUGUAUACAAUCAAUAUACACGUGGUAUACGCCUGAUAUACAGGGAAAAACAACCAAUAUACACUGAUAUACAGAAAUUGUAUAUAACUGAUACAGGGACGGAAAUGAGCCCAAAACAGAGUGUAGCAGCAGCAGAUGUUCAAUAGAACAAGUUUGUGGGCUCAAUUUGUUUGGGCAGAAAUUGGGCCACUAGCCCAAAUUAUUCUUAAUUCAUUUGAUUGUGAUUACUUCUUGUUUAUUUUGUAUUAAUUCUAGCUUUGUGUGGUUUAAAUUUAAUUAAAUUCCCUAAAGAUGAACCACUUUUGAUUAUGAUAAUUCAUUUAAUUAGUUUUCUU
rnacentral:lncRNA from 1 species